GUACGGGAGGCAGCAGUAAGGAAUAUUGGUCAAUGGACGCAAGUCUGAACCAGCCAUGCCGCGUGGAGGAUGAAGGUCCUCUGGAUUGUAAACUUCUUUUAUCUGGGACGAAAAAAGGGUUUUCUAACUCGUCUGACGGUACCAGAUGAAUAAGCACCGGCUAACUCCGUGCCAGCAGCCGCGGUAAUACGGAGGGUGCAAGCGUUAUCCGGAUUCACUGGGUUUAAAGGGUGCGUAGGCGGGCAAUUAAGUCCGUGGUGAAAUACCUGAGCUUAACUUGGGAACUGCCAUGGAUACUAUUUGUCUUGAAUGUCGUGGAGGUUAGCGGAAUAUGUCAUGUAGCGGUGAAAUGCUUAGAUAUGACAUAGAACACCUAUUGCGAAGGCAGCUAACUACGCGAAUAUUGACGCUGAGGCACGAAAGCGUGGGGAUCAAACAGGAUUAGAUACCCCGGUAGUCCU
rnacentral:rRNA from 1 species